AUUGAACGCUGGCGGCAUGCUUUACACAUGCAAGUCGAACGGUAACAGGCCGCAAGGUGCUGACGAGUGGCGAACGGGUGAGUAAUGCAUCGGAACGUGCCCAGUCGUGGGGGAUAACUACUCGAAAGUGUAGCUAAUACCGCAUACGAUCUAUGGAUGAAAGCGGGGGACCGUAAGGCCUCGCGCGAUUGGAGCGGCCGAUGUCAGAUUAGGUAGUUGGUGGGGUAAAGGCUCACCAAGCCAACGAUCUGUAGCUGGUCUGAGAGGACGACCAGCCACACUGGGACUGAGACACGGCCCAGACUCCUACGGGAGGCAGCAGUGGGGAAUUUUGGACAAUGGGCGCAAGCCUGAUCCAGCAAUGCCGCGUGCAGGAAGAAGGCCUUCGGGUUGUAAACUGCUUUUGUACGGAACGAAACGGCUCUGGUUAAUACCCGGGGCUAAUGACGGUACCGUAAGAAUAAGCACCGGCUAACUACGUG
rnacentral:rRNA from 1 species